ensembl:lncRNA
AUAUCCCGGCACUAUGCAAAGGGCAGGAAGCGCAUCAACCUGGGUUUCCCUCACGUUCUGUCGCGCACACGAACGCUCCAGCCUCUCGAGAGGACCCUGGCCAGCAGAAUCACUGUUAGGGGAGGAGAGGGGAGGGCUCCUUUGCAGACCCUCCUCGAUUUGGGCCAUCCCUAAAGCGCGGACAGCUUCUCGAGAGCGACUGGGUUUGUAUCGAGACGGAAGGAAUUAGUGGUUCUGUUCUGCCGGUGAAAUAGCCCACCGAAGACAGUGCUUAAUGAAAUAUGGUGCAUAUAUAUCACCCAUACCAGGCGCAGGGGGCGGUCCCCCGCGCCCCGCCCCGAGGGCGCCUUCCCGCGCCGCCCGGCUGCGCCCGCCGCACCUGCUUCUGCCGGGAGUGGUUUCCGUGGAAACUGCGGAGAGCCCGCUCUUCCUUCAGACACGCUGUUACCGGGACAACUGCGACCUGGCAUGAGGCGGUCCGAGGGGGGCAAUGGACGCCUGCUUUAAAUCAAAGAUGUAGAGAUUCUCUAAGGCGGGAGGGCAGAAACAGGAGGGCAGGCAGCGAUGUUUGGGACUGGAGGCGGAGCCCCGGGAGCCUGCGUGGGGGUGGAGUUAAUGGGCGACGCAGACUCCGCGGACCGCGUAGCUCCCCCUGCGCCCGCACCAAUUCAAAGAGUGCACAGCAUUGGCCCAAUGCAUUGAGUCAGCAAUUUUUUAACAGAAAGAAGAAAGAGAAAGAAGAAAUGUGAAUGGCAGCCUGCCACAGCAUAGAUGAUGGUGACCACAGCCGUAACGGAACAAAGCCAGCAGGAGCUGCCCAGUGAGGAGCGCCUGCUGCAGAGGGCCAGCAGAAGUCUGUUUCUUGGAGCUCAGCUGGCGGCUUGCUUUCCACUCAGCAGGCCCCCCUCCAAUUCCUGUUAGACCUUGCUUCUCCUAGUUGUAUGGACACGCGUUACGUGGAUUUACGACGUUUUGUUUAAUAAAACUUCAUCCUCGAUUCCCUGUCUUCAACAGCCUCAACAAAAAUGUGCCUUUCUGGAGAUGGAUGGCACAACAAUGUGAGUGGACGUGGGCCUGCACACCGGCAAAUGGCUAACACGGUAGUUAAAAUAGGAAAAAGGAGUCCAAAAUGCUGAUGGCUAAAAGACAAAGAAAGAGAAAAGCCCUCAAAAAUGGAACAAAGGACAAUCCACGGACUGAGGUGAGAACGUCAGUGAAACAAACACGCCCCCUUCUUGGCCAGCUCAGUUUGCACAGGGCAGGCUCAAGGCGGGGAGGAGACAGACGUGUAAAAGGAGGAAGCCAGGCUGGGCUGGGGCCUCUCCUCUGGGGCUGGCCCGCCCUCACGCCUCUAGGGUGUUCUAUCCUUUGUUUGCCGAAUAAAGAUCUGAGC